AUGGGUGGAGGCAAGCAGGUUGGAAGAAACGUCUGGUGUGACACCUGGGUGGCUGGAGGAAUGGGGAUGUGGUCAGGUUGCAGGCCCCUGCUGCAAGAUACAGCCCUAAAUUUGGCCCCAGUGUGCAAGGUGCAGGCAGAGACCUUGCAACGUGUGAUACCACGUCCUUGCAGCAGCUGUGGUGACUCGAACACAUCUUGCUGCAGAAGUUGGACAUAUGCCUGGGCAGCACACAUAUCUUGCCCUAGGAUUUUAUGGCUUGUCCCUUUCCCUGAUCCCAAGUCAGCAAUUGAUCAGUGCCCGGAGAUCAAACAUACUCAGAGUAGCAGAAUGGAGAGGAGCCCAGAGCCGUGCGAAUGCACAUUCACUGGAUUGUUGAGUGGACAAAAAAAAAUCAGUGUUCCUGAAAGACUGAGAUCAUCCCCUCUCCGUGUUUUUCUUCUGCAUCACUGAGUAUCUCUUUGGUUUUCUAUUUCGAUCCUUUCAACCUUAACAGGACAAGAGAAUGAAAUAUGCACAUAUGUAUGGAUUUCCUGCCUUUUUUUUUUUUUUUUUAAACUAUAUUUUCAGUUUUGGACCACUUUUCUUCCAACUGGUCAUUUGCACUACCUGACAGUAAACCUUCAGUGAGAGAGAUUCCUAGAUCAGGGAAUUAACACAUGGUGAAAAGGAGGAAGGAAAUCCCUUCUUUCUCACAGCCCAAAGACUGACUGCCAGCAAAUUACCAGAAAAGCAACUCUGGUAACAGUCCCCUGGCUACUUGAUACAGGAACAUCUCAUCUGCUUGUAAG
rnacentral:lncRNA from 1 species